GGAAGUCAUUUGCAGUCAAACUUCCUCAGAUCCAUCUCCAGUCAUUGGAUUGUCUACAGUAAACAGGACAACAAAUUUGUUAAGACUUGAAUGGAUAAUGCCAAGUGAUACGAGAACCUCUGAUUAUACCUACCAAAGUACUGUAUAUGCAAGUCCAGGCACAACAGUACAAUACACGUUGUCGGAACCGUCAGUCACUCCUGAGCACACAUUGACCACUCCUGAGGAGGUGACCACAAAUCCAUCUCCAGUCACUGAACUUUCUGCAGUAAACAGGACAAUAAAUUCAUUAACAAUUGAAUGGACAGUGCCAACGGAUGCAAGAGCAG